AUCAGCAUGUUGCGGUGAAUACGUUCUCGGGGUUUGUACACACCGCCCGUCAAACUACGAAAGUGGGCAAUACCCAACGCCGGUGGCCUAACCCGAAAGGGAGGGAGCCGUCUAAGGUAGGGUCCAUGAUUGGGGUUAAGUCGUAACAAGGUAUCCCUACGGGAACGUGGGGAUGGAUCACCUCCUUUCUAAGGAGA
rnacentral:rRNA from 1 species